rnacentral:misc_RNA from 1 species
GAUGAAGAACGUCAGCGAAAUGCGAUAAGUAAUGUGAAUUGCAGAAUUCAGUGAAUCAUCGAAUCUUUGAACGCACCUUGCGCUCCUUGGUAUUCCGAGGAGCAUGCCUGUUUGAGUGUCAUGAAAUUCUCAACCUUACAAAGUUGUUAACUUUGUCUGGCUUGGAUUGUGGGAUUUUGUUGGCUUGUUAAAAGCCAACUCUCCUUAAAUGUAUUAGCAGAAUCUUUUAUAGGUUGGCUUUUUAGUGUGAUAAUUUAUCUACACUAUAGAGUAACUUGUUUUUAUAAUUCAGCUUCUAAUUGUUUCAAUUGAGACACAUUAUGACAUUUUGACCUCAAAUCAGGUAGGACUACCCGCUGAACUUAAGCAUAUCAAUAAGCGGAGGA